GCCAUGCAUGUCUAAGUCCAAGCUGUGUGUGGGGGUGCAAGCUCUUACACAUGGCGAAACCGCGGACGGCUCAUUAAAUCAGUCGUGGUCCAAAUGGGCUAGUGUUAUCUUACUUGGAUAACUGUGGUAAUUCCAGAGCUAAUACAUGCAACUGAAAGUCCGAUCGGGGCACUCGUCACUUGUGGCGUGUUGUUCUGUGACGGCUGCUUUUAUUAGACCAAACCGCUGAGUUAGAGUUGGCUUCGUAGCCCUCUCUAUAAGACUCGUGUUAUGGUGACUCUGAAUAACACCUUUUGACAAGCGCACGUAUCCNUUUACUUGGGACGGCGCUGCCACUUUCGAGUGUCUGCCUUAUCAGCUAUGAAUCGUUCGUUAUGUGCGUACGAUGGCUUUGACGGGUAACGGGGAAUCAGUGUUCGAUUCCGGAGAGGCAGCCUGAGAAACGGCUACCACGUCCAAGGACGGCAGCAGGCACGCAAAUUACCCAAUCCCAGAAUCUGGGGGAGGUAGUGACGGAAUAUAACGAUGCGGGCGCCCCUUCUGGGGCCCCGCAAUCGGAAUGAGCAUUUUCUUUCUAAACACCCUGUUGAGAACCUACUGAAGGGCAAGUCUGGUGCCAGCAGCCGCGGUAAUUCCAGCUUCAGCAGCAUCUAUUAAAGUUGCUGCGGUUAAAAGGCUCGCAGUUGAAUGUCAGUACAAAGUGCAGCGAUGGUGGACGUUGGAGUGCGUUGUUGAGUGUUUCUCCUCGGUGGUCUCCUUGUGUUUCUGCCUUGGUGUAUUCGUUCGCUUCGCGUCUAUAGCUCCCGUCCGUAAACAGCCUCCUCACUGUCGUACAAUGUUUGGGAAUGUUUAUGCUGGAAAGGUGGCGCUAAAGGGCGGGUUCGGCUUCGCGGUCGUUCCUUCUCUGUCGCUGAUUACAGCAUGUUUUCAAAGUCACCUUGAGUAAAUCAGAGUGCUCAGAGCAGUCGUAAGGAAUGUGUUGCGUUCGCGCGUAGCACGUUCUGUGAUGAAUGUCAAUUGACAGACAGACUUGGUUUUGCAUGGUAUGUCGAAAGACGCCGUAUUCCUGUUGGUCACGAGUCUAAUGCGGGCUUGCAGUUUUCUAGCGUGCGUGGGUUUCGUUUCGGCGUCCCCGCGCGUGUCGAGGCUGUGACAUAUGAGACCAACAGGUGCGGAAUGAUUAAAAGGAACGGUCGAAGGUAUUGGUAUUGCGAGGCGAGAGGUGAAAUUCUAUGACCCCCGCAAGACCUCCUAAAGCGAAAGCGUCUGCCAAGGACGUUUUCAUAAUCACCAGGCGUGGAGCCUGCGGCUUAAUUUGACUCAACACGGGCCAUCUCACCAGGCCAGCACUCUUGUACGAUUGACAGAUUGAAAGUUCUUUCUCGAUUCAGUGGAUGGUGGUGCAUGGCCGUUCUUAGUUGGUGGAGUGAUCUGUCUGGUUAAUUCCGAUAACGAACGAGACUCUCCCCUGCUAAAUAGUCGGUUGGAUUUUGCGUCUGGAGAGUUGUGGGCGUGUGCGGUUUCUCGUGCGUGAGAUGCGGUUUCGAUCGUGUCGAGCGUGCGGGUCUCUGUGUGUGUCUCGCACUCCAAGUCCGCCGCUUACUUACAAAAGUGAUGUGUAACAGCAAAGCUAUAUGAGUAAAACUCUUCUUAGAGGGAUUCACGGUUCUGAAGCCGUAAGAAACUGAGAGCAAUAACAGGUCUGUGAUGCCCUUAGAUGUUCUGGGCCGCACGCGCGCUACAAUGCCGGGCUCAGCAGGUGUCUUUCCUUCUCCGAGAGGAGUGGGUAACCCUCUGAAAGCCCUUCAAACAAUUUAUCAAAGGGUUCACGUUUCGCUCACGCGAUCGAGUUCUCUUCCUUGGCUUGCUUGGGCCUGGGGCUUGCAAUUCUUUCCCACAAACGAGGAAUGCCUAGUAGCGGCGGAUCACUGAGUUCGCUGUGACUCAGUCCCUGCCCUUUGUACACACCGCCCGUCGCUACUACCGAUUGGGUGUACCAGUGAGAUCCUUGGACUGGCGAGCCUUGUACCCUAGCAAUAGAGUUCAAGUGUGUACGACGGGAAGAGGCUCGAACUGGUGCACUUAGAGGAAGUAAAAGUCGUAACAAGG
rnacentral:rRNA from 1 species